UGGCUUAAUGGUUAAAAGCACUGGAUGAUCCUCCAGAAGACCUGGGUUUGAUUCCCAG
rnacentral:tRNA from 1 species